AUAGUUUCGUAUGUGCCCAUUGCACAUCUGGUAGCUCGCUUAUGAGAGAUCGAACGAGCUCAUUGUCCUCAUCUUGCAACUGAAAGCACAGUACGAGUAAGAGUAACAACGUUUAGAGGCAAACGUAUCAAGUCACCUGGAAGAGAGUAGCUACUACGACCACACCGUCUUCAUGCCGCAGUGCAUGCGAAAAAUUGGAAUAUGCCAUAUUGCGAUGUACAAUAUGCAUUUCCAUUGGAUAUCUAUGGACAUUAAUCUUUUCAUCGCUAUAUUAUUUAAUUCAUUCCUUAUCAUUUCGAUUCGAGCAAAUAAAUAUGAUUGUUACCUUA